rnacentral:rRNA from 1 species
AGUGGCGAACGGGUUAGUAACGCGUGGGAACAUACACAGCACAGGGGGAUAACCAUUGGAAACGAUGGCUAAUACCGCAUACGCCCUAUUGGGGAAAGAUUUAUCGGUGUUGGAUUGGCCCGCGUUAGAUUAGCUAGUUGGUGAGGUAAUGGCUCACCAAGGCGACGAUUUAUAGCUGGUUUGAGAGGAUGAUCAGCAACACUGGAACUGAGACACGGUCCAGACUCCUACGGGAGGCAGCAGUCGGGAAUAUUGUGCAAUGGGGGCAACCCUGGCACAGCCAUGCCGCGUGAGUGAAGAAGGCCUUAGGGUUGUAAAGCUCUUUCAGAUGUGAGGAUGAUGACGAUAGCAUCAGAAGAAGCUCCGGCUAACUUCGUGCCAGCAGCCGCGGUAAUACGAAGGGAGCUAGCGU